rnacentral:rRNA from 1 species
GAUGAACGCUAGCGGCAGGCUUAACACAUGCAAGUCGAGGGGCAGCGUGGGGCAGCAAUGCUCCGACGGCGACCGGCGGAAGGGUGCGUAACACGUGAGCGACUUGCCCGUCACAGGGGGAUAACCGGCGGAAACGGCGACUAAUACCCCAUAUGAUGUGAUGCUGCAUGGCAUCGCAUUGAAAGAUUCAUCGGUGGCGGAUAGGCUCGCGGGACAUUAGCUAGACGGCGGGGCAACGGCCCACCGUGGCGACGAUGUCUAGGGGUUCUGAGAGGAAGGUCCCCCACAUUGGUACUGAGACACGGACCAA